CCCUGCUCUCUCAGCUUCUCCUCUGAUCAGACGUGCUCCAGUCCCUUCAUCAUCAUCAUCCGUUCCUUGCUGGACUCUCUCCAGUAUGUCCAUGUCUCAUGUGCUGGGGAGUCCACCACUGGAUCCAGCACUCCAGGUACUUACAUGUCCUGCCUAACACAGUCAAACGUAAAGUUGUGAGGUUUGUGGUUGAUUCUGCUUUGUAACACAGAAACUGAUCAUCUCUGCUUUGUGGGUGGGAGUUAAGCAGCUUUCCCAAGGUCACAAGAAAGUCUGAGACAGGAGCUCAGUUCAGACCUCCUCGGCUCUAUUUAAUAGCCUCCCUUCCCAUUUAUGUGCUUUCUUUUUCUGAAGAAAAGAAAAGGAUGCAACGGAAAAUGUUUCAAGAACAGCACUACAUGCCUGAAA